AAUCAACGCUGGCGGCGUGCCUAACACAUGCAAGUCGAACGCGAAAGUGGAGCAAUCCAUGAGUAGAGUGGCAAACGGGUGAGUAACGCGUGGGCGACCUACCUUCGAGUGGGGGAUAACCUUCCGAAAGGAGGGCUAAUACCGCAUGACAUCCCGUGUUUGGAUACACGGACAUCAAAGCCGGGGAUCGUAAGACCUGGCGCUUGAAGAGGGGCCCGCGUCCGAUUAGCUAGUUGGGAGGUAACGGCUCACCAAGGCUCCGAUCGGUAUCCGGCCUGAGAGGGCGGACGGACACACUGGAACUGAGACACGGUCCAGACUCCUACGGGAGGCAGCAGUGGGGAAUUGUUCGCAAUGGGCGCAAGCCUGACGACGCAACGCCGCGUGGAGGAUGAAGAC
rnacentral:rRNA from 1 species